rnacentral:rRNA from 1 species
CAGCCGCCGCGGGAAUACGUAGGUGGCAAGCGUUGUCCGGAAUUAUUGGGCGUAAAGGGCUCGCAGGCGGUUUCUUAAGUCUGAUGUGAAAGCCCCCGACUCAACCGGGGAGGGUCAUUGGAAACUGGGAAACUUGAGUGCAGAAGAGGAGAGUGGAAUUCCACGUGUAGCGGUGAAAUGCGUAGAGAUGUGGAGGAACACCAGUGGCGAAGGCGACUCUCUGGUCUGUAACUGACGCUGAGGAGCGAAAGCGUGGGGAGCGAACAGGAUUAGAUACCCCAGUAGUCCCUGUCUCUUAUAU